rnacentral:lncRNA from 1 species
UAUAAAAUGAUAUUACACGCGAGUCAAAAAAUUUUCAUUCUUUUUCAAUCACACAUUAUUAAAAAAACUACUAUUUCAAUCAUUAAAAUUUGGCAGGAGUAGAGGCCAAACAGGAGCAAGACUUAACUUAUUAUAAUUUGAUAUGACAUGACAAGACUGGUACCCAUGGAUAUAAAUUAUCUCCAAAUCUUGGAAAGCAUUUACAAAAGUGAUUCUUUCCUAAAAUUUCAACUCUUAUCAUUUAACCUUAUUUUUGCAUAUUUUAAACAUCUAUGCAUAUCUUUAAAGAGAAUCACAUUCCGAAGAAUUUUAUCGUUGACUCUAAUUAAUUUUCUUCUUUUCAUAGGAGUUGAAGAUUGU